AACCCGCUGAGGUCCCUUUCCACAGUGUGGAAGCUUUGUUUUUUCGCUCUUUGCGAUAAAUCUUGCUACUGCUCACUCUUUGGGACCAUACGGCUUUUAUGAGCCGUAACACUCACCGCGAAGGUCUGCAGUUUCACUCCUGAAGCCAGCGAGACCACGGGGAGGAACGAACAACUCCAGACGCGCCGCCUUAAGAGUUGUAACACUCACCACGAAGGUCUGCAGCUUCGCUCUUGAGCCAGCGAGACCACGAACCCACCAGAAGGAAGAAACUCUGAACACAUCUGAGCAUCAGAAGGAACAAACUCCAGACGUGCCACCUUAAGAGCUGUUAACACUCACCGCGAGGGUCCGCAGCUUCAUUCUUGAAGUCAGUGAGACCAAGAACCCACCAAUCCCGGACACAAAGCCACCACAUUCUGUAUCUUCUGCAUUCCAUAUUUGGCCCUUUGUAGCUGAUCACUUUCCAGAUUUCACAGUUUCAAAAUGAUGGUUUUAAUAGAUACUUGAAGGUAUCGGUCUUAGUAAUGACCUGCUGCCUAAUUGCCUGACAACCUCUUGAUAGUUUAACAAAUCUGUCCAAAAUGAGCUCGCCUUUGUCCUAUGCCAAAUGUACAAAGAAAGACUAAUUUUAAGGCAUUAAAGGAAUAACGUCAGUAUUUUGAUCCUUAUA
rnacentral:lncRNA from 1 species